rnacentral:rRNA from 1 species
GAAACCCAGCAUGAGUUAUGUCAUGUUAUCGAUAUGUGAAUACAUAGCAUAUCAGAAGGCACACCCGGAGAACUGAAACAUCUUAGUACCCGGAGGAAGAGAAAGAAAAUUCGAUUCCCUUAGUAGCGGCGAGCGAAACGGGAAGAGCCCAAACCAACAAGCUUGCUUGUUGGGGUUGUAGGACACUCUAUACGGAGUUACAAAGGACGACAUUAGACGAAUCAUCUGGAAAGAUGAAUCAAAGAAGGUAAUAAUCCUGUAGUCGAAAAUGUUGUCUCUCUUGAGUGGAUCCUGAGUACGACGGAGCACGUGAAAUUCCGUCGGAAUCUGGGAGGACCAUCUCCUAAGGCUAAAUACUCUCUAGUGACCGAUAGUGAACCAGUACCGUGAGGGAAAGGUGAAAAGCACCCCGGAAGGGGAGUGAAAUAGAACCUGAAACCGUGUGCUUACAAGUAGUCAGAGCCCGUUAAUGGGUGAUGGCGUGCCUUUUGUAGAAUGAACCGGCGAGUUACGAUUUGAUGCAAGGUUAAGCAGUAAAUGUGGAGCCGUAGCGAAAGCGAGUCUGAAUAGGGCGUUUAGUAUUUGGUCGUAGACCCGAAACCAGGUGAUCUACCCUUGGUCAGGUUGAAGUUCAGGUAACACUGAAUGGAGGACCGAACCGACUUACGUUGAAAAGUGAGCGGAUGAACUGAGGGUAGCGGAGAAAUUCCAAUCGAACCUGGAGAUAGCUGGUUCUCUCCGAAAUAGCUUUAGGGCUAGCCUCAAGUGAUGAUUAUUGGAGGUAGAGCACUGUUUGGACGAGGGGCCCCUCUCGGGUUACCGAAUUCAGACAAACUCCGAAUGCCAAUUAAUUUAACUUGGGAGUCAGAACAUGGGUGAUAAGGUCCGUGUUCGAAAGGGAAACAGCCCAGACCACCAGCUAAGGUCCCAAAAUAUAUGUUAAGUGGAAAAGGAUGUGGCGUUGCCCAGACAACUAGGAUGUUGGCUUAGAAGCAGCCAUCAUUUAAAGAGUGCGUAAUAGCUCACUAGUCGAGUGACACUGCGCCGAAAAUGUACCGGGGCUAAACAUAUUACCGAAGCUGUGGAUUGUCCUUUGGACAAUGGUAGGAGAGCGUUCUAAGGGCGUUGAAGCAUGAUCGUAAGGACAUGUGGAGCGCUUAGAAGUGAGAAUGCCGGUGUGAGUAGCGAAAGACGGGUGAGAAUCCCGUCCACCGAUUGACUAAGGUUUCCAGAGGAAGGCUCGUCCGCUCUGGGUUAGUCGGGUCCUAAGCUGAGGCCGACAGGCGUAGGCGAUGGAUAACAGGUUGAUAUUCCUGUACCACCUAUAAUCGUUUUAAUCGAUGGGGGGACGCAGUAGGAUAGGCGAAGCGUGCGAUUGGAUUGCACGUCUAAGCAGUAAGGCUGAGUAUUAGGCAAAUCCGGUACUCGUUAAGGCUGAGCUGUGAUGGGGAGAAGACAUUGUGUCUUCGAGUCGUUGAUUUCACACUGCCGAGAAAAGCCUCUAGAUAGAAAAUAGGUGCCCGUACCGCAAACCGACACAGGUAGUCAAGAUGAGAAUUCUAAGGUGAGCGAGCGAACUCUCGUUAAGGAACUCGGCAAAAUGACCCCGUAACUUCGGGAGAAGGGGUGCUCUUUAGGGUUAACGCCCAGAAGAGCCGCAGUGAAUAGGCCCAAGCGACUGUUUAUCAAAAACACAGGUCUCUGCUAAACCGUAAGGUGAUGUAUAGGGGCUGACGCCUGCCCGGUGCUGGAAGGUUAAGAGGAGUGGUUAGCUUCUGCGAAGCUACGAAUCGAAGCCCCAGUAAACGGCGGCCGUAACUAUAACGGUCCUAAGGUAGCGAAAUUCCUUGUCGGGUAAGUUCCGACCCGCACGAAAGGCGUAACGAUUUGGGCACUGUCUCAACGAGAGACUCGGUGAAAUCAUAGUACCUGUGAAGAUGCAGGUUACCCGCGACAGGACGGAAAGACCCCGUGGAGCUUUACUGUAGCCUGAUAUUGAAAUUCGGCACAGCUUGUACAGGAUAGGUAGGAGCCUUUGAAACGUGAGCGCUAGCUUACGUGGAGGCGCUGGUGGGAUACUACCCUAGCUGUGUUGGCUUUCUAACCCGCACCACUUAUCGUGGUGGGAGACAGUGUCAGGCGGGCAGUUUGACUGGGGCGGUCGCCUCCUAAAAGGUAACGGAGGCGCUCAAAGGUUCCCUCAGAAUGGUUGGAAAUCAUUCAUAGAGUGUAAAGGCAUAAGGGAGCUUGACUGCGAGACCUACAAGUCGAGCAGGGUCGAAAGACGGACUUAGUGAUCCGGUGGUUCCGCAUGGAAGGGCCAUCGCUCAACGGAUAAAAGCUACCCCGGGGAUAACAGGCUUAUCUCCCCCAAGAGUUCACAUCGACGGGGAGGUUUGGCACCUCGAUGUCGGCUCAUCGCAUCCUGGGGCUGUAGUCGGUCCCAAGGGUUGGGCUGUUCGCCCAUUAAAGCGGUACGCGAGCUGGGUUCAGAACGUCGUGAGACAGUUCGGUCCCUAUCCGUCGUGGGCGUAGGAAAUUUGAGAGGAGCUGUCCUUAGUACGAGAGGACCGGGAUGGACAUACCUCUGGUGUACCAGUUGUCGUGCCAACGGCAUAGCUGGGUAGCUAUGUGUGGACGGGAUAAGUGCUGAAAG